CAUUAUAACAUAUGGAACUAAUAUACACAGUAUAUUAUACACUCUGGAAUUAAUUUACAUAGUAUAAUCUCAUGGCUAUAGAUAGUUCUUUUUCACUGUGCUUGUGCCUCCCCAAUUUGGGGGUCGUUGGGGGUCUUUGACGAAGGCUUCCAAAGUCAUCUUUGCAUCUGAACUUUUCAACUUUGUCUUCAGAGCAUGCACAGCUAUGGUGUUCCUUGGUCUGUCUGGUCCUAACCGGUCUACUUACUUUAUUUUGUGGCUAAUUGGCUUGAUGUUUGCUAAGUUUUCAUUAGUACUAUACUGACCUCUCUCUGAAACUGACCACCUGGUGAGAUUUUCAUUUUUUUUCCCCUCUCUCCAGCAGUGAGCAACCAAUUAACCAUAUACUAGCCAGUACAGGUUAUACUAGUCUCUAUCAGGUUAAAUAGAUCCAUGAAAUUAUGAUUCAGGUUCUAUUGAUAUCUGGUGAUACAGAUCUAUCAGGUUAUAUUGAUAUCUUCUAACUCAACCUAUAGAAGCAGCUUGUAAGUUUGACUUAAGUUCUAUAGGCAUCAAACCCCCCAAGACAUGUGGUGAUAUUUUUCUUUCUCACCCUGUUUUGGGAGGAGGUGAGCUUUUGUCUUCCCUGACAAAAGCACACUUGCUGCCAAGGGAAACACAGCUGAGGAGCAGGAGUGACCCAGCCUUCCCUUUGCUUCCUUUCUUCUUCCCUCCGUGCUGCACAGCUUCUUGGUCCAGAAGCGCGAUGCUGCCUCACCUGAGGAUUCAGAGCUGCCUCCAGGCCCUUGCAGGAGAAGUGCAGGUGCUCAGGAGAGUGAGGCUUCCCCAGCACCUGCCAAGAAAGUCUGUGCCACCUCUGCACUUGCUGGGGCUUCACCAGUGGAACCAUCAAGAGAGCUCAUCCAGAGAUUUAAUCUCCGCAAGCUCACGGUUCCACUGGUUCGCCUGGACCUGAAACGCCAUCCUGAGCUCAUGGUUCGCCUCACUCCAGUCGACCCUGAAGCUGCUUGCAGGGCCCUUGGACAGAGCAACAGCUGCUCAUCUUCUCAGCAGCACAGCCCAGUCUGCCACCCAUCAGCUCCUUGGUGCCAGAAGCGCAGUGCUGCCUCACCUGAGGAUUCAGAGCUGCCUCCAGGCCCUUCCAGGACAAGUCCAGAUCCUCAAGGGCGUGAAGCUUCCCCAGCACGUGCCAAGAAAGUGUUUGCUACAUCUGGACUUGGGGUUUCAUCAGGCCAGCCAGGCACACACAAAUUUCAAUCCCAGCCAGAGCUCAUGACUCCACCAUUUCCUGCGCACCAUCAAAGCACUUCUGCGGCCUCUCCAGAGAGCAGCAGCUGCACUUCUCCAGAGCAGCACUUGCCAGCCAACAUCCCAUCAGCUGCCCCGGGCACUUCAGUCCCCAGUGCUCCAGCUGGCAGUGCUGGUUAUGCAGCAUGGAGAGCCCCAAGCUGGGUCUGGAGUACUCCUGGGGAAGAGGAAUUGCCACCGCUGGAUCUGGACCUUGUUCUGGAGACACUGGAGGAGAUGCUUUCACCAUCUGUGCCUGAAAGGUCUCCCUCUGCUCAGGUCAAUGCUAGUGUUGCCCGUGGCUCUUCAGGAGGGGAGGCUGUGAACAAGGCUGCAGCAGAGGGAGCUUUGCCUGCUUGCGGGAGCGGUGUGAACGUUUGCCAGGAGCCCGAGGAGCUUGGUAAGGAGUGAGCCCAGCCUGCUUUAGAGAGAUGGGAGACAGCUGCUCUGAGCCUGCCUCUGACAGGAAGGGAGAUCAGAAGAGUUGAGUUCUUGUCUGCAGCAGGGUUGGUGCUUCCUGGUGCCUUUAGUUCAAAUCCUGCACUGGCACAAGCUCCCCGAGCCCUGCCCCUCCAUGCUUUUCCAGAGGCUCUGACACCGAGUCCUCUGCUGUGGCAAGAGAGCCGGCAAGAAACCUGAGCUGGUGGCAGUUGUGUCACCAAGCUGCGUGUCCCAAUUGGUUCCCAGCUCACAGCAG
ensembl:lncRNA